rnacentral:rRNA from 1 species
AUGUACCAGAACAUUAAUGAAGCAUCAUGGGGCGAGCAACAACUCAUCAGUGAGAUAAGAACAUUCCUUGAAAACAAGAGGUACUUGAUAGUUAUUGAUGACAUAUGGGAUAAAUCCGUCUCGGAAAAUAUCAAGUAUGCAUUGAUUGAGAAUGGAUACGGAAGUAGAGUAAUCACACCAACUCGGGUUCUUGAUGUUUCCCUGCAAGCUGGUGGUGUAUAUCGGCUGAAACCUCUUUCUGUUGUCAACUCAAGAAAGUUGUUCUAUCAAAUAAUAUAUGAGAUGGAGAACAAGUCACAACCUAAUCAAUUGGUUGAAGUAUCUGAGAGAAUUUUAAAAAGAUGUGGGGUAGUUCCGCUAGCUAUCCUUGCGAUAGGUAGCUUGCUGUCUAGUGAAAAGGGAAGAGCACAUACACAUGAGUAUUGGUCCAAGGUGUACAAAUCCAUCAGUUCGGGGCUAGACAAUAAUCAUGAUGAUGUGAAGAACAUGAGGAGAAUAUUAUCUGUAAGUUACUCUGGCCUACCUCUGCACCUAAAGACUUGCUUACUGCAUCUUGGUUUGUAUCCAGAGGAUUAUGAGAUUGAAGCAGAACAACUAAUUUGGAAAUGGGUUGGUGAAGGUUUUGUGAAAAAAGAACAAGGGAGGAGCUUAUAUGAAGUAGGAGAGGAUUACUUGAAGGAGCUAGUUAAUAUAAACUUGGUCCAGCCUUCAUAUUUAAAUAGCCUUCGUCGUGUGCAUGAUAUGGUUCGUGACUUCAUCACUUAUUUGUCACAUGAGGAGAAUUUUCUAACAACACCAGAUUGUCAGCAGUUAGAGUAUCUACCAAGUAAGAUACGCCGAUUGUCCUUGCAGACCAGGAAUGAAGAAGUUGGUAAUCAGCUGGCAACCGUGAGCUUGUCCCACGUGAGGUAA